rnacentral:rRNA from 1 species
CACGUAGGGUGCGAGCGUUGUCCGGAAUUAUUGGGCGUAAAGAGCUCGUAGGCGGUGUGUCGCGUCGGCCGUGAAAACCUGCAGCUUAACUGUGGGCUUGCGGUCGAUACGGGCAUCACUGGAGUUCGGCAGGGGAGACUGGAAUUCCUGGUGUAGCGGUGAAAUGCGCAGAUAUCAGGAGGAAACACCAAAUGGCGAAGGCAGCACUCUGGGACGGUACUGACGCUGAGACGCGAAAGCGUGGGGAGCAA